AGAGUUUGAUCAUGGCUCAGAGCGAACGUUAGCGGCAGGCCUAACACAUGCAAGUCGAGCGAGAAAGGGGCUUCGGCCCUGAGUAAAGCGGCGGACGGGUGCGUAACACGUGGAUAAUCUGCCCUUCGGCGGGGGAUAACAGUCCGAAAGGAUUGCUAAUACCGCAUGCGUCCAGAGGAGCUCCGGCUUCUUUGGGGAAAGAGGGCGCCCGCAAGGGGCUCUCACCGGAGGAUGAGUCCGCGGCCCAUCAGCUAGUUGGCGGUGUAACAGACCACCAAGGCAAAGACGGGUAGCUGGUCUGAGAGGAUGAUCAGCCACACUGGGACUGAGACACGGCCCAGACUCCUACGGGAGGCAGCAGUGGGGAAUAUUGGGCAAUGGGCGCAAGCCUGACCCAGCCAUGCCGCGUGAGUGAUGAAGGCCUUCGGGUCGUAAAGCUCUGUGGGGAGGGACGAACAGCCCGGGGGUUAAUACCCCUCGGGUCUGACGGUACCUCCUUAGCAAGCACCGGCUAACUCCGUGCCAGCCGCCGCGGUAAUA
rnacentral:rRNA from 1 species